rnacentral:rRNA from 1 species
CCCUUAGAUGUCCUGGGCCGCACGCGCGCUACACUGAUGCAUUCAACGAGUUUUACCUUGGCCGAGAGGCCUGGGCAAUCUUUUAAACCUGCAUCGUGAUAGGGAUAGAUUAUUGCAAUUUUUAAUCUUGAACGAGGAAUUCCUAGUAAACGCAAAUCAUCAAUUUGCAUUGAUUACGUCCCUGCCCUUUGUACACACCGCCCGUCGCACCUACCGAUUGAAUGGUUCGGUGAAGCCUCGGGAUUGUGGCCAGUUCACUUUAUUGGGAGUUGGCUGUGAGAACUUGUCUAAACCUUAUCAUUUAGAGGAAGGUGAAGUCGUAACA